rnacentral:lncRNA from 1 species
GACGGUUAGGAAGCUGACAGAGAUCAGUCGGUUGAGGAAGAUGUUUAAAGGAAACGUGGCUAUAAGUCAUGGUGCUCUCCCAGGAUGACAUUUUUAUUAAUUAACCAGAGAUGAGGAAAACAGGCCUAAAGGUAGCCCAUUCAUAAACUUUACCUUCCCAUACCCACUCAAGUCCCCAUCACAAACUUAUGAGACAGAGAAAGUAACUGCCUCUUCCAGUAGGCAGUGCUUAUGAAGAGUUUCCUAGAAGACUGUCAGGUGUGGGAAUAUAGUAACAGAGGAAAAAUGUCCAAUCUGUAACAACACACCUGCUUGGGGCUUCACCUGUUUGGGUAAUAUUACAUGUGUGUACAGUAAUUAACAAAUUGAGUAGUGCUGCUACUAAACAAACAGCAAGUCACCAGGAUGAGAGAUAAAGGGUUGUGCCCAAGGUAGUGUCAUCUUUCUUUGCAGGGACUUGAAGGGGACUAAAGAAGUCACUAGAGUUUCUACAGCCCAUAGUGGAAGCAUAUAGAGUAGAGCAGAUAUAUAAAAAAGAGAUAAUACAAUUUUAUAUAUAUAUAUAUGUUAUAAUUAAUACAAACAAAUAUAUUUGCAAAUUGUUAUAUAUAUAUAUAGUUAUAUUAGUUAUUUAGCCACUUGAUAAUUAACUGUAAUAAUUAUUUCUAAAAUAAUUAUUUCUAAAUCAGUAGCCUUAUUUGGCUAUGUAAGUAACAUUAAGAUGUUUCCUGUCUCUGACUGGGCUUAUGCUAUUUUUGGAAUGAGGCUUUUAACACUCAUGACUAUGAAUGAAAAGGUUUCAUAUUGUAAAUGUUUGGUAAUAUUUGUUUAAAAUUUUCUGUUGCAGUGACUGUUUCCUCCAGUAAACUACUGUCUUGGAAUAUUUAAACAAAGAAGAGUGGAGCCAAUUACAGUGAAUGACUCAAAAAUAUGAACAAACAUUUCUUGACAACGGUGCAAGGAAUUCAGCAGCCUCUAAUGCAGAAGGGAGCUAAUAGCUGUAAGCACUGGAAGUCAUCUUUGCAGCCUUCAGCAGCUUGUGAAAAAGGAGGUGAAGUGGUCAUAUGACACCUGAGAACUCAAAUAUCCUGUGGUCUUUAAUGUUCUGUGUAAAUGACGGCCAGAUAAGCACAGGAUUGGACUUCACCUGAGGGAGCAAAACCACAGGGAUGAAAACACAAGAAGAACGGGUCAAAAUCCAGCUUAAAAUUCAAAAU